AGUGAACGCUGGCGGUAGGCCUAACACAUGCAAGUCGAACGGCAGCACAGUAAGAGCUUGCUCUUACGGGUGGCGAGUGGCGGACGGGUGAGGAAUACAUCGGAGUCUACUUUUUCGUAGGGGAUAACGUAGGGAAACUUACGCUAAUACCGCAUACGACCUACGGGUGAAAGCAGGGGAUCUUCGGACCUUGCGCGAUUGAAUGAGCCGAUGUCGGAUUAGCUAGUUGGCGGGGUAAAGGCCCACCAAGGCGACGAUCCGUAGCUGGUCUGAGAGGAUGAUCAGCCACACUGGAACUGAGACACGGUCCAGACUCCUACGGGAGGCAGCAGUGGGGAAUAUUGGACAACGGGCGCAAGCCUGAUCCAGCCAUACCGCGUGGGUGAAGAAGGCCUUCGGGUUGUAAAGCCCUUUUGUUGGGAAAGAAAAGCAGCAGGUUAAUACCCCGCUGUUCUGACGGUACCCAAAGAAUAAGCACCGGCUAACUUCGUG
rnacentral:rRNA from 1 species